AAACUAACCUUGCUGAGAGGCAUCUCGCGAUCACGAAGGCGGGACCUCCAUGGUGAGGCUCGGUCAUUGCACUUCUCGGUCGGGCUGACCCGUGUGGCAACCCCAAGUCGGGGUUGGCCAGCAGCGUAAUUUUUGCGUUUUGGGGAAAGCGUCCGCGCUUCCCCGC
rnacentral:snRNA from 1 species